rnacentral:tRNA from 1 species
GGGGAUGUAGCUCAAUGGUAGAGCACUUGCCUAGAAUGUAUAAGACCCUGGGUUAGGUCCCCAGCACUGCCA